UAACAAGUUUUUAUUUUCUAAGAACAGUUUGAAUUUAGGUGUGUUCCGCCUCCUCAUUCAUUCACAUAAAAAUAGUCAUUUUUACUUUUGCGGACAAUUUAAUUUUUGGGACAUUUCUGACCCGGACAAAAUUCCCCAAGCACUUUCCAAUUGUUUGUGCAGUUCAAGUCUGCAGACAUUUGCUAAUCUCCCGUCAGAACAGGAUCUGCACACGUGUUCACAUUUUCCAUCUGUUGCCCUCAUUGUUUUCGUUACUAAUAAUAACUUUGGAAAUGUGUGCGUUUCUAUCAAAUGGCGCAGCGGUCAAAGGCACAGCACGGAGUCAAAGGCACAGCACGGUGCUAGAGACGUCACUACAGACUCCCUGGUUCAAAUCCAUGCUGCGUUUCUAAAAACCACAAACAGUAUUUGCCAAUAUCAUAACUGGACAUCUUUCGAGCUGAAGAUUGAGGACAGCUUUUGUAUGCUAACGUUCUCUCCUUAACAGUUUUACUGGAUGGAAACACAGCAAGAAAACACAUAGGCCAAUAUGCAUAGUAUCAUGGCAGGUCACCUGUCAAGUCACCUGUCAGGCAGACUUUGCAGUGCCUCCGUGUGCGACUACCUUGAGCAGCAGUUUGAGGGACUUUGCAGGGAAAAUGCCGUGCAGUGAGGCGUAGGGGAUUGUCUAAAGCAGGGCGACCCCCAGUGGAGGGGCGCCGAGGGGUGUGGUGCUCCUCCAACAGCUCUCUCAUGAGGUUCUCUCUGUAUUUUUGGUGGUCCACCUUCCCUGUGGCCGACAUGGUUGCUGUAUGGACAGUGGAGAGGACAUGGACGUCUCUUUUGU
rnacentral:lncRNA from 1 species